rnacentral:rRNA from 1 species
UGGGGAAUAUUGCACAAUGGGGGAAACCCUGAUGCAGCGACGCCGCGUGAGCGAAGAAGGUUUUCGAAUCGUAAAGCUCUGUCCUAUGGGAAGAUAAUGACGGUACCAUAGGAGGAAGCCCCGGCUAACUACGUGCCAGCAGCCGCGGUAAUACGUAGGGGGCAAGCGUUGUCCGGAAUCACUGGGCGUAAAGGGUUCGCAGGCGGAAAUGCAAGUCAGUUGUGAAAGGCAGAGGCUCAACCUCUGUAAGCAAUUGAAACUGUAUUUCUUGAGAUGUGGAGAGGCAGGUGGAAUUCCUAGUGUAGCGGUGAAAUGCGUAGAUAUUAGGAAGAAUACCGAUGGCGAAGGCGACUUGCUGGACACAAACUGACGCUGAGGAACGAAAGCGUGGGUAGCAAACAGG